CUCGGAUUCUUCCGCGCGGCGAGCGCGCUUUUGAGCGAGAUCGAACGUCAGAAUGCGUCCCUGCUCGAACAGAUCAGUGUGGUCGACUUCAAUCCGAACGUGUUUCGCACGCUCACGACGCGCGGCAUUCAUGUCAUCUACGGUGACAUCAGCAACAUCGACACGCUGCUGCAUGCCGGUGUCGGCAAGGCCGAGAUCAUCAUUCUCAGCGUGCGGGAUUCGCUGCUGAAAGGCGCCAACAACGAG
rnacentral:misc_RNA from 1 species